CGGAGAACGAAGCAGCCUGCGGCCCUGCUCCACAGCGGGCUUGACCGCGGGUUCGUGCAUUUUCCUAGGGUCGCAGCCCUCUUCCCAGUGGGCUCAGCCGCGCGGCCGCGCCCCCCACCGGGCUUCCAAGCACUCUCGUCCGCGCUACUAGAAACCUCGCAGAGACUGAAGCUGAGAAAAGGCGGGCAAAGUUGCUUUUGAUAAAUUAUGAAUGGGGAGAAAGUGUUUGUAGAACUCAUUGUUAAAACCACGGAGCCGGAGACUCCGCCCGCGCCCGGCCAAUAGGGGCCCGGAGGCUAUUUUGAAAUCUCUCCGGUCUCAGCCAAUAGGCGUGCGGGAGGCGAAGCCCCGCGCCGGCGCCGGCCAAUGAGCGCGGCGUUAUGCUAAGGAGCGGCGGACCGGGCCUCGCCGACUGUCAGCAGGUCAAAGAUGGAGCCGGCGGGCGAGAGGACACCACGAGGUGCGGAGUCGUCCGGGUGGAGACGACGGGGGCACACGACCACCAGGACCUCUCUUCUACUAACCUUCUGCGUCCUGCCCCAGCCCUGGGCGAAAGGGGUGUCGCACUGCGGAGAUCUGCUGCCCUGAGCCUGCAGGAGAACCUGUGAGGUACCUGACCUGCCCACCCUCACAGCUGGAGUUGGGAAGAUUGGAGCUGAACUGCCAAGGAGCCUGGCCCCAGGCAUGCUUGCAGGGCCACCUCCACCAUCGAGACCUGACACAAUGCGAAAAGUUUUUAUGCGCCCAGUGACAGUCAUUCAAGCCUGUCUCCUUAAGAGGAGGCCCAGGUCUCCAGAUGGGCAUUUGGGAUUACCCCUCACCCCUGGCUGAGCACAUCAAGACACCAGCUUCACCUCUACCUGGGUGGUGGAAGUCUUGGCAUCCAAGGGGAGGAAGAGGGAUAAUGACACAUGCUCCUUUCUGUCCUGGGCUUGACCCCUUGGGGUUCCUCCAUCCCAAGGCCACUUGACUCAGGCCUGUCCUCCUUUCCCCUGGGCUCCAGGUGCCAUGGCUGGAGGUGGCCACCCUUACUCCUGUGCAGAUUCUGUACCCACUGGCUGGACAUCCCCUUGCAGCUGUCUCCUGCCCUUGCUGGCAGAGGCGUGUUAACUCAGGGCCCUGCUCAAAUGUUCCCUCCUAGGGGAAGCCUUUCCUGGGCUCCACAUCAUUCAAUGUUCCUCCAGCAAAGCCUGUUAGAUUGAAAUAUUCUCCCUGUGGCUGAAGACGUCAUUAGACUGGGAGCUUCUGAGUGCAGGGACUAUGUCAUUUUUUCUUUCUCUUGGCAGUAUCUGACACAGAGGAGGGGCCCAAAACACUUUUUUUUUUUUGCUGAGGAAGAUUGACCCUGAGCUAACAUCCGUGCCCACCUUCCUCUACUUUAUAUGGGAUGCCGCCAUAGCAUGGCUUGAUAUGUGAUGCGUCUGCACCUGGGCUCCGAACCUUCGAACCCUGGGCUGCCGAAGCGGAGCACGCGAACUUAACAGCUACACCACUGGGCCAGCCCCACCAAAACACUUUCUAAAAAUACAAAUAAACAUACAAAGUGUGAAGUA